GUGCUCACUUUGGCAACACAUAUACUAAAAUGAUACAGAGAAGAAUAGGAUGGCCCCUGCACAAGGAUGACAUGCAAAUUCAUGGAGUGUCUUAUAUUUUU
ensembl:snRNA U6 U6 spliceosomal RNA